rnacentral:rRNA from 1 species
GCGGCAUGCUUAACACAUGCAAGUCGAACGGCAGCACGGGCUUCGGCCUGGUGGCGAGUGGCGGACGGGUGAGUAAUGCUUGGGAAUCUGCCUAGUGGUGGGGGAUAACUCUCCGAAAGGGGAGCUAAUACCGUAUAAGCCCCUAGGGGGAAAGAUUUAUCGCCAUUGGAUGGGCCCGCGUCGGAUUAGCUAGUUGGUGAGGUAACGGCUCACCAAGGCGACGAUCCGUAGCUGGUCUGAGAGGAUGAACAGCCACACUGGGACUGAGACACGGCCCAGACUCCUACGGGAGGCAGCAGUGGGGAAUAUUGGACAAUGGGCGCAAGCCUGAUCCAGCCAUGCCGCGUGAGUGACGAAGGCCUUAGGGUUGUAAAGCUCUUUUGGCGGGGACGAUAAUGACGGUACCCGCAGAAUAAGCUCCGGCUAACUUCGUGCCAGCAGCCGCAGUAAUAC